rnacentral:rRNA from 2 species
GGGUUGUGAGGUUAAGCGACUAAGCGUACACGGUGGAUGCCCUGGCAGUCAGAGGCGAUGAAGGACGUGCUAAUCUGCGAAAAGCGUCGGUAAGGUGAUAUGAACCGUUAUAGCCGGCGAUGUCCGAAUGGGGAAACCCAGUGCAAUUCGUUGCACUAUCGUUAACUGAAUACAUAGGUUAACGAGGCGAACCGGGGGAACUGAAACAUCUAAGUACCCCGAGGAAAAGAAAUCAACCGAGAUUCCCCCAGUAGCGGCGAGCGAACGGGGAGCAGCCCGGAGUCUGAAUCAGCUUGUGUGUUAGUGGAAGCGUCUGGAAAGUCGCAGGGUACAGGGUGAUACUCCCGUACACUAAAACACACAGGUUGUGAACUCGAAGAGUAGGGCGGGACACGUGGUAUCCUGUCUGAAUAUGGGGGGACCAUCCUCCAAGGCUAAAUACUCCUGACUGACCGAUAGUGAACCAGUACCGUGAGGGAAAGGCGAAAAGAACCCCGGCGAGGGGAGUGAAAAAGAACCUGAAACCGUGUACGUACAAGCAGUAGGAGCCCACUAGUUGGGUGACUGCGUACCUUUUGUAUAAUGGGUCAGCGACUUAUAUUCUGUAGCAAGGUUAACCGUAUAGGGGAGCCGCAGGGAAACCGAGUCUUAACUGGGCGUUAAGUUGCAGGGUAUAGACCCGAAACCCGGUGAUCUAGCCAUGGGCAGGUUGAAGGUUGGGUAACACUAACUGGAGGACCGAACCGACUAAUGUUGAAAAAUUAGCGGAUGACUUGUGGCUGGGGGUGAAAGGCCAAUCAAACCGGGAGAUAGCUGGUUCUCCCCGAAAGCUAUUUAGGUAGCGCCUCGUGAAUUCAUCUUCGGGGGUAGAGCACUGUUUCGGCUAGGGGGUCAUCCCGACUUACCAACCCGAUGCAAACUACGAAUACCGAAGAAUGUUAUCACGGGAGACACACGGCGGGUGCUAACGUCCGUCGUGAAGAGGGAAACAACCCAGACCGCCAGCUAAGGUCCCAAAGUCAUGGUUAAGUGGGAAACGAUGUGGGAAGGCCCAGACAGCCAGGAUGUUGGCUUAGAAGCAGCCAUCAUUUAAAGAAAGCGUAAUAGCUCACUGGUCGAGUCGGCCUGCGCGGAAGAUGUAACGGGGCUAAACCAUGCACCGAAGCUGCGGCAGCGACACUAUGUGUUGUUGGGUAGGGGAGCGUUCUGUAAGCCGUUGAAGGUGGCCUGUGAGGGUUGCUGGAGGUAUCAGAAGUGCGAAUGCUGACAUAAGUAACGAUAAUGCGGGUGAAAAACCCGCACGCCGGAAGACCAAGGGUUCCUGUCCAACGUUAAUCGGGGCAGGGUGAGUCGACCCCUAAGGCGAGGCCGAAAGGCGUAGUCGAUGGGAAACAGGUUAAUAUUCCUGUACUCGGUGUUACUGCGAAGGGGGGACGGAGAAGGCUAUGUUGGCCGGGCGACGGUUGUCCCGGUUUAAGCAUGUAGGCGGAUGUUCCAGGUAAAUCCGGAACGUUAUUAACGCUGAGGUGUGAUGACGAGGCACUACGGUGCUGAAGUGACAAAUGCCCUGCUUCCAGGAAAAGCCUCUAAGCAUCAGGUAACAUCAAAUCGUACCCCAAACCGACACAGGUGGUCAGGUAGAGAAUACCAAGGCGCUUGAGAGAACUCGGGUGAAGGAACUAGGCAAAAUGGUGCCGUAACUUCGGGAGAAGGCACGCUGAUGGUAGGUGAAGCGACUUGCUCGUGGAGCUGAAAUCAGUCGAAGAUACCAGCUGGCUGCAACUGUUUAUUAAAAACACAGCACUGUGCAAACACGAAAGUGGACGUAUACGGUGUGACGCCUGCCCGGUGCCGGAAGGUUAAUUGAUGGGGUUAUCCGUAAGGAGAAGCUCUUGAUCGAAGCCCCGGUAAACGGCGGCCGUAACUAUAACGGUCCUAAGGUAGCGAAAUUCCUUGUCGGGUAAGUUCCGACCUGCACGAAUGGCGUAAUGAUGGCCAGGCUGUCUCCACCCGAGACUCAGUGAAAUUGAACUCGCUGUGAAGAUGCAGUGUACCCGCGGCAAGACGGAAAGACCCCGUGAACCUUUACUAUAGCUUGACACUGAACACUGGUCCUUGAUGUGUAGGAUAGGUGGGAGGCUUUGAAGUGUGGACGCCAGUCUGCAUGGAGCCAUCCUUGAAAUACCACCCUUUAAUGGCUGGUGUUCUAACGUGGGCCCGUAAUCCGGGUUGCGGACAGUGUCUGGUGGGUAGUUUGACUGGGGCGGUCUCCUCCUAAAGAGUAACGGAGGAGCACGAAGGUCAGCUAAUCCUGGUCGGACAUCAGGAGGUUAGUGCAAUGGCAUAAGCUGGCUUGACUGCGAGCGUGACGGCGCGAGCAGGUGCGAAAGCAGGUCAUAGUGAUCCGGUGGUUCUGAAUGGAAGGGCCAUCGCUCAACGGAUAAAAGGUACUCCGGGGAUAACAGGCUGAUACCGCCCAAGAGUUCAUAUCGACGGCGGUGUUUGGCACCUCGAUGUCGGCUCAUCACAUCCUGGGGCUGAAGUAGGUCCCAAGGGUAUGGCUGUUCGCCAUUUAAAGUGGUACGCGAGCUGGGUUUAGAACGUCGUGAGACAGUUCGGUCCCUAUCUGCCGUGGGCGCUGGAGAAUUGAGGGGGGCUGCUCCUAGUACGAGAGGACCGGAGUGGACGCAUCACUGGUGUUCGGGUUGUCAUGCCAAUGGCAUUGCCCGGUAGCUAAAUGCGGAAGAGAUAAGUGCUGAAAGCAUCUAAGCACGAAACUUGCCCCGAGAUGAGUUCUCCCUGACCCUUUAAGGGUCCUGAAGGAACGUUGAAGACGACGACGUUGAUAGGCCGGGUGUGUAAGCGCAGCGAUGCGUUGAGCUAACCGGUACUAAUGAACCGUGAGGCUUAACCUUACAACGCCGAAG